CUUGCUAUUUGAUAUUUCUAGCGGCGGACGGGUGAGUAACGCGUGAGCAACCUGCCUUUAUCAGGGGGAUAACGCAUCGAAAGAUGUGCUAAUACCGCGUAAGACCACAGCCUCACAUGGGGCGGGGGUCAAAGGAGCAAUCCGGAUAAAGAUGGGCUCGCGUCCGAUUAGCUAGUUGGUGAGAUAACAGCCCACCAAGGCGACGAUCGGUAGCCGACCUGAGAGGGUGAUCGGCCACAUUGGAACUGAGAGACGGUCCAGACUCC
rnacentral:rRNA from 1 species